rnacentral:rRNA from 1 species
GACGAACGCUGGCGGCGUGCCUAACACAUGCAAGUCGAACGGGGAGUUAUUUAUAACUCCUAGUGGCGAACGGGUGAGUAACGCGUAGACAACCUGCCUCUAAAUUGGGGACAACACCGCGAAAGUGGUGCCAAUACCGAAUGUGGUAACUUGGUCGCAGGACUAGGUUAAGAAAGAUGGCCUCUAUAUAUAAGCUAUCGAUUAGAGAUGGGUCUGCGUCUGAUUAGCUAGUUGGUGAGGUAAAGGCUCACCAAGGCGACGAUCAGUAGCCGGUCUGAGAGGAUGAACGGCCACACUGGGACUGAGACACGGCCCAGACUCCUACGGGAGGCAGCAGUGGGGAAUCUUCCGCAAUGGACGAAAGUCUGACGGAGCAACGCCGCGUGAGUGAAGAAGGUCUUCGGAUUGUAAAGCUCUGUCGUUUGGGACGAACGUGGAUGGUGUGAAUAAUGCAGUCUAAUGACGGUACCAAAGGAGGAAGCCACGGCUAACUACGUGCCAGCAGCCGCAGUAA